rnacentral:tmRNA from 1 species
GGGCCCGUAAAGGUUUCGACGGGGAUUUUGAGGUAUCAUAAGCGGGUAGAGCCGGGCAAUCUCUCCAAAGGCCUAACUUAAAAUUAAACGCUAACAAUAAAACUGUAGCAAUGGCUGCCUAAGGGCAGUGCCGCGGCAAUCAUGUCGCCCGUUCCUCCGAGGAGUUUCGCGGCCUCGGACUGAGCGUCAAAUGAGCGAAGCCCGUGCACCGAUGGUUCGCCAUUGAGUCGGUCACGCAAAAAAUGGCUACCCAACGAAGAAGUCUGUCCGUUGACGGCUUUUGAGGGGAAUUCUAAAUAACGGACUGCACCCGGAGAAGGUGAUAUCAAGAGGUUUUCGGACAGGGGUUCGAUUCCCCUCGGGUCCACCA